UACGAGUGCCUCGAGCGUUAUCCGGAAUCAUUGGGCGUAAAGGGUGCGUAGGUGGUCAUGUUAGUCUCUCGUUAAAUUUUGCGGCUUAACCGUAAACCUGCGAGGGAAACGGCAUGACUUGAGGGUGCAAGGGGUCUCUGGAACUCUAAGUGUAGCGGUGAAAUGCGUUGAUAUUUAGGGGAACACCAAAAGCGAAGGCAGGAGACUGGGGCACACCUGACACUGAGGCACGAAAGCGUGGGUAGCGAAUGGG
rnacentral:rRNA from 1 species